rnacentral:rRNA from 1 species
GACAGCCAGGAUGUUGGCUUAGAAGCAGCCAUCAUUUAAAGAAAGCGUAAUAGCUCACUGGUCGAGUCGGCCUGCGCGGAAGAUGUAACGGGGCUAAACUGUGCACCGAAGCUGCGGCAGCGACACUAUGUGUUGUUGGGUAGGGGAGCGUUCUGUAAGCCUGCGAAGGUGGCCUGUGAGGGUUGCUGGAGGUAUCAGAAGUGCGAAUGCUGACAUAAGUAACGAUAAUGCGGGUGAAAAGCCAGCA